rnacentral:rRNA from 1 species
AUACGGAGGAUCCGAGCGUUAUCCGGAUUUAUUGGGUUUAAAGGGUGCGCAGGCGGGAGAUUAAGUCGGCGGUGAAAUUUUGCAGCUCAACUUUAAAAGUGCCUUCGAAACUGGUUUCCUUGAGUGUAGAUGAAGUAGGCGGAAUUUGUGGUGUAGCGGUGAAAUUCAUAGAUAUCACGAGGAACUCCGAUCGCGCAGGCAGCUUACUAAACUACUACUGACGCUCAGGCACGAAGGCGUGGGGAUCAAACAGGAUUAGAUACCCUGGUAGUCCACGCAGUAAACGAUGAUUACUAGCUGUUUGCGAUACAAUGUAAGCGGCUGAGCGAAAGCGUUAAGUAAACCACCUGGGGAGUACGUUCGCAAGAAUGAAACUCAAAUGAAUUGACGGGG